UGUGUGUGUGGUGAGUCUGAGGCUGGGUCUUUGUGGGCAAGGUGAGUUCCUCCCUGCCUUCAACUGGCCUACAAAGUCCCAGUUUUAGGCCCAUGUGACCAUC
rnacentral:pre_miRNA from 13 species